rnacentral:rRNA from 1 species
CCUACGGGAGGCAGCAGUGGGGAAUUUUGGACAAUGGGCGAAAGCCUGAUCCAGCAAUGCCGCGUGAGUGAAGAAGGCCUUCGGGUUGUAAAGCUCUUUUGUCAGGGAAGAAACGGUGAGAGCUAAUAUCUCUUGCUAAUGACGGUACCUGAAGAAUAAGCACCGGCUAACUACGUGCCAGCAGCCGCGGUAAUACGUAGGGUGCAAGCGUUAAUCGGAAUUACUGGGCGUAAAGCGUGCGCAGGCGGUUUUGUAAGUCUGAUGUGAAAUCCCCGGGCUCAACCUGGGAAUUGCAUUGGAGACUGCAAGGCUAGAAUCUGGCAGAGGGGGGUAGAAUUCCACGUGUAGCAGUGAAAUGCGUAGAUAUGUGGAGGAACACCGAUGGCGAAGGCAGCCCCCUGGGUCAAGAUUGACGCUCAUGCACGAAAGCGUGGGGAGCAAACAGGAUUAGAUACCCUGGUAGUCCACGCCCUAAACGAUGUCUACUAGUUGUCGGGUCUUAAUUGACUUGGUAACGCAGCUAACGCGUGAAGUAGACCGCCUGGGGAGUACGGUCGCAAGAUUAAAACGCAAAUGAAAUUGACG